rnacentral:rRNA from 1 species
GAGUUUGAUCCUGGCUCAGAUUGAACGCUGGCGGAAUGCUUUACACAUGCAAGUCGAGCGGCAGCGCGGGGCAACCUGGCGGCGAGCGGCGAACGGGUGAGUAAUGCAUCGGAACAUGUCCAUGUCGUGGGGGAUAGCCCGGCGAAAGCCGGAUUAAUACCGCAUACGCCCGAGAGGGGAAAGUGGGGGACCGCAAGGCCUCACGCGAUUGGGUUGGCCGAUGUCCGAUUAGCUAGUUGGCGGGGUAAGAGCCCACAAGGCGAUGACGGGUAGCUGGUCUGAGAGGACGACCAGCCACACUGGAACUGAGACACGGUCCAGACACCUACGGGU